rnacentral:rRNA from 1 species
UCGACCGGCGCACGGGUGAGUAUCGCGUAUCCAACCUGCCCUUUACUUGGGGAUACCCCGUUGAAAGACGGCCUAAUACCCGAUGUAAUUCAUUGAUGGCAUCAGAUAUGAAUAAAAGAUUAUCGGUAAAGGAUGGGGAUGCGUCUGAUUAGCUUGUUGGUGAGGUAACGGCUCACCAAGGCAACGAUCAGUAGGGGUUCUGAGAGGAAGGUCCCCCACAUUGGAACUGAGACACGGUCCAA